ensembl:lncRNA
AGUCAGAGGUGUAGGUGAGCACAAAGUAGUAAAGUAGGCAGGCUCUGGUUAUGGGGGUAGAUGCUCGAGGAGUUUCAGGGGGACUCCUGAGGCUCUAUCCCGCCUUUGCGUAUGUCGAGCCUCCUUCCUCAUGACCUUUGUCACAGGCGGAGUACUCACUCUGGCCCCCAACACAAGGCACAGAUCCCUGCCUCCUCCAGCCCUUCUGGCUCUGCCUCAGCUCCAGCCAGAGAUUUCAACCUUCCACAGAUCCGCACGUUCUCCACAGAGGCGGCUGUCUGUUCCUGGGCACCUGGCAGAAGGACCUCACUGCAAACUGACCCUUCUCUGGCCAUGAGCUCAGUUCUCCUGUGAUCAUGGGGCCUGGACACUCCUCUGCCUUGACCUGAAGCUCCUCCCUCUCAGCACCCACCUGGGGCCUCCACACCAUGCCCUCUAGAAGCGCGGAGGGACUUUGGGUCUCCAUGGCCAUCUCCUCCUCUGUGGUGUUUCCCUCAUCCGUGGCCAAGUCCAGGGCUUUGGCAGAGUCUGCAGAGACUUGGUGGACACCAGGGCAGGUAUUUGGCCAUGAAACCUGCAGCCUCCCCACGAGGCCCAAAUGCAGCUCCAGCUUUCCGCAGGAGGCCCCAAACCAGCAGGUUGGCCUGGCUGAAGAGCUGACCCUUCUGGGGCCCUAGAGACAGGCCUCUCUCCUUGCCAAGCCCUGUUCUGCAGCAGGACAGACUACCCACCACCGAAGGACAGGCUCUGGCGAUGUCACUGACUAAUCUUCUUAGCAGCUAAAACAUCGGAUGGCUACCACCCAGGGGGCCAUGGAGGACCGUGGCAAAGGUGUGUUAGGAACAGGACUCAUUAUUCUUGUAACACAGCUAAGUUCUGGGAGGUAAAAAGAAGAAGGGGGUGGUGGGAAGAAAGAAAAUCUUCUUCUUGCAGUCAUCUCAAAUUCCAGGCUGAAGGCACUGCUUGUAAAGCCAUGGCUUGUAAUUGGUACUGAGACUCCCUCCAUCCUUCGAUGUAUCUAUUCUGACCCUUUCAGGACCCCGCCUCCCGCACGACUUCCUCCUGGGCUCCACCAGACAGACCUAGGCUUCAGCUCGCAUCUGCUGCCGUUCUUCCUCCCUCUGGUCCUUGGCUUUGAUGGGAUCCUCCAGGGGAAGCUAUUAGCUGUGAUUGUGGU